rnacentral:rRNA from 1 species
UGAUGGCGAGUGGCGAACGGGUGAGUAAUGCAUCGGAACGUACCGUGUAAUGGGGGAUAACGUAGGCGAAAGUUACGCUAAUACCGCAUAUUCUGUGCGCAGGAAAGCAGGGGACCUUCGGGCCUUGUGCUGAUUGAGCGGCCGAUAUCAGAUUAGCUAGUUGGUGAGGUAAAGGCUCACCAAGGCGACGAUCCUGUAGCGGGGUCUGAGAGGAUGAUCCGCCACACUGGAACUGAGACACGGUCCAGACUCCUACGGGAGGCAGCAGUGGGGAACAUUGGACAAUGGGGGGAACCCUGAUCCAGCCAUGCCGCGUGUGUGAAGAAGGCCUUUUGGUUGUAAAGCACUUUAAGCGAGGAGGAGGAGCUCUAGAUUAAUACUCUAGAUGCUUGGACGUUACUCGCAGAAUAAGCACCGGCUAACUCUGUG